CGCGAAAGUACCGCUUCGGUGGUACGAGUAGAGUGGCGCACGGGUGAGUAACGCGUAGGUAAUCUACCCUUAUAUUUGGGAUAACAUACCGAAAGGUCUGCUAAUACCGGAUACGCUUAAUUAUASGCGAGUAUGAUUAARGAAAGGUAACCACUGACAUAAGUUAUCGUAUAAGGAUGAGCCUGCGUACCAUUAGCUAGUUGGUGGGGURACGGCCUACCAAGGCAACGAUGGUUAGCGGGUCUGAGAGGAUGAUCCGCCACACUGGAACUGGAACACGGACCAGACUCCUACGGGAGGCAGCAGUGAGGAAUAUUGCGCAAUGGGGGAAACCCUGACGCAGCGACGCCGCGUGGGUGAUGAAGGCUUUCCGGUCGUAAAGCCCUGUCAAGUGGGAAGAACUGCAUGC
rnacentral:rRNA from 1 species